ACUCCUACGGAAGGCAGCAGUGGGGAAUAUUGGACAAUGGGGCGCAAGCCUGAUCCAGCAAUGCCGCGUGUGUGAAGAAGGCCUCGGUUGUAAGCACUUUAUCAGGAACGAAAAGACGUUGGAUUAAUACUCUGACGUGCUGACGGUACCUGAGGAAUAAGCACCGGCUAACUUCGUGCCAGCAGCCGCGGUAAU
rnacentral:rRNA from 1 species